CAGUCGCCGCGGUAAGACAGAGGGUGCAAACGUUGUUCGGAAUUACUGGGCGUAAAGCGUGCGUAGGUGGUGGUUUAAGUCCGUUGUGAAAGCCCUGGGCUCAACCUGGGAAUUGCAGUGGAUACUGGGUCACUAGAGUGUGGUAGAGGAUAGUGGAAUUUCCGGUGUAGCAGUGAAAUGCGUAGAGAUCGGAAGGAACAUCUGUGGCGAAGGCGACUAUCUGGGCCAACACUGACACUGAGGCACGAAAGCGUGGGGAGCAAACAGGAUUAGAUACCCGAGUAGUCCCUGUCUCUUAUAA
rnacentral:rRNA from 1 species